rnacentral:rRNA from 1 species
UNGAGUGCAGAAGGGGAGAGUGGAAUUCCAUGUGUAGCGGUGAAAUGCGUAGAUAUAUGGAGGAACACCGGNGGCGAAAGCGGCUCUCUGGUCUGUAACUGACGCUGAGGCUCGAAAGCGUGGGGAGCGAACAGGAUUAGAUACCCUGGUAGUCCACGCCGUAAACGAUGAGUGCUAGGUGUUAGGCCCUUUCCGGGGCUUAGUGCCGCAGCUAACGCAUUAAGCACUCCGCCUGGGGAGUACGACCGCAAGGUUGAAACUCAAAGGAAUUGACGGGGGCCCGCACAAGCGGUGGAGCAUGUGGUUUAAUUNGAAGCAACGCGAAGAACCUUACCAGGUCUUGACAUCCCGAUGCCCGCUCUAGAGAUAGAGUUUUACUUCGGUACAUCGGUGACAGGUGGUGCAUGGUUGUCGUCAGCUCGUGUCGUGAGAUGUUGGGUUAAGUCCCGCAACGAGCGCAACCCUUAUUGUUAGUUGCCAUCAUUCAGUUGGGCACUCUAGCGAGACUGCCGGUAAUAAACCGGAGGAAGGUGGGGAUGACGUCAAAUCAUCAUGCCCCUUAUGACCUGGGCUACACACGUGCUACAAUGGCUGGUACAACGAGUCGCAAGUCGGUGACGGCAAGCUAAUCUCUUAAAGCCAGUCUCAGUUCGGAUUGUAGGCUGCAACUCGCCUACAUGAAGUCGGAAUCGCUAGUAAUCGCGGAUCAGCACGCCGCGGUGAAUACGUUCCCGGGCCUUGUACACACCGCCCGUCNC